rnacentral:rRNA from 1 species
UACAGAGGGUGCAAGCGUUAAUCGGAAUUACUGGGCGUAAAGCGCACGUAGGCGGCUUUGUAAGUUAGAGGUGAAAGCCCCGGGCUCAACCUGGGAAUUGCAUUUGAGACUGCGUAGCUAGGGUGCGGAAGAGGGAAGCGGAAUUUCCGGUGUAGCGGUGAAAUGCGUAGAUAUCGGAAGGAACACCAGUGGCGAAAGCGGCUUCCUGGUCCAGCACCGACGUUCAGGCACGAAAGCGUGGGGAGCAAACAGG